AUGAAGAGGAAAGUCCGGACAGCAGAGGAUAGCGUGCUUCCUAACGGGAAGGCCUUGCUUGCAAGGACAGCUAGUGCAACAGAAAGAAUACCGCCUUCGGGUAAGGGUGAAAAGGUAGGGUAAGAGCCUACCGCACUUUAGGUGACUAAAGUGGCAUGGUAAACCUCACGCGCUGAAAUGUCAUGUA
rnacentral:RNase_P_RNA from 14 species